rnacentral:rRNA from 1 species
UACGGGGGGGGCAAGCGUUGUUCGGAAUUACUGGGCGUAAAGGGCUCGUAGGCGGCCAACUAAGUCAUACGUGAAAUCCCUCGGCUCAACUGAGGAACUGCACGGGAAACUGCUUGGCUUGAGUUCGGGAGAGGGAAGCGGAAUUCCGGGUGUAGCGGUGAAAUGCGUAGAUAUCCGGAGGAACACCGGUGGCGAAGGCGGCUUCCUGGACCGACACUGACGCUGAGGCGCGAAAGCUAGGGGAGCAAACGGG